rnacentral:rRNA from 1 species
UACGUAGGGCGCAAGCGUUGUCCGGAAUUAUUGGGCGUAAAGGGUGCGUAGGUGGCGCUGUAAGUCGGGUGUGAAAUCCUGGGGCUUAACCCCGGAACUGCAUUCGAUACUGCAGUGCUUGAGGACUGGAGAGGAGACUGGAAUUCAUGGUGUAGCAGUGAAAUGCGUAGAGAUCAUGAGGAAGACCAGUGGCGAAGGCGGGUCUCUGGACAGUUCCUGACACUGAGGCACGAAGGCCAGGGGAGCAAACGGG